rnacentral:rRNA from 1 species
CCUACGGGAGGCAGCAGUGAGGAAUAUUGGUCAAUGGGCGCGAGCCUGAACCAGCCAAGUCGCGUGAGGGAUGACGGUCCUACGGAUUGUAAACCUCUUUUGCCGGGGAGCAAGCGUGCGUUCGUGAAUGCGCGUCGAGAGUACCCGGAGAAAAAGCAUCGGCUAACUACGUGCCAGCAGCCGCGGUAAUACAGGGGUGGCGAGCGUUCUCAGGAAGUAUUGGGUUGAAAGCGUGCGUAGGCGGGGUGCUAAGUCAGCAGUAAAAAUGCGGGGCUCAAUGACGUCGAGCUGUGGAUACUGGCAAUAUGGAGUGGGAUAGAGGGAAGCGGAAUGGCAGGUGAAGCGGUGAAAUGCGUAGAUAUAGGGAAGAACACCAGAGGCGAAGGCAGCUUACUGGGUCUAUACUGACGCUGAGGGACGAAAGCGUGGGGAGCAAACAGGAUUAGAUACCCCAGUAGUC